UACGUAGGGUGCGAGCGUUGUCCGGAAUUACUGGGCGUAAAGAGCUCGUAGGUGGUUUGUCGCGUUGUUCGUGAAAACUCACAACUCAAUUGUGGGCGUGCGGGCGAUACGGGCAGACUGGAGUACUGCAGGGGAGACUGGAAUUCCUGGUGUAGCGGUGGAAUGCGCAGAUAUCAGGAGGAACACCGGUGGCGAAGGCGGGUCACUGGCCCGAUACUGACGCUGAGGUGCGAAAGCGUGGGGAGCAAACAGG
rnacentral:rRNA from 1 species